rnacentral:lncRNA from 1 species
AUUAUAUUAUAUUAUAUAUUUUUUGCUUUCUUAUAACUUUGGAGGAAAGUCAAAUCUUGGUAUUAUUAAAAUUGUUUUAAAAAGGAGUAAAUUUUCCAGUUGAUAAAUGAAAAUCAAUGGUCUAGCUUUAAAAUAAUGAGUUUUUCUUUAAUUACUGUGGAAUAACGUGCCAGCUAUCAUCAACACAAUGAUUUUGUACAUAGGGUAGGGAAGCAGUGAUGCUCUCAAUGGGAAGAUGUGCAACACAAAUUAAGGGGAAC